GAUGAACGCUGGCGGCGUGCUUAACACAUGCAAGUCGUACGAUAAAGCCCAGCUUGCUGGGUGGAUUAGUGGCGAACGUGUGAGUAACACGUGAGUACCCUGCCCUUAACUCUGGGAUAAGCCGGGAAAACUGGGUCUAAUACCGGAUAGGAGCGUCCACCGCAGGGUGGGUGGGGGAACGAUUUAUCGGUUUUGGAUGGACUCGCGCCCUAUCAGCUUGUUGGUGGGGUAAGGGCUAACCAAGGCGACGACGUGUAGCCGGCCUGAGAGGGUGACCGGCCACACUGGGACUGAGAAACGGCCAGAACUCCUCCGGGGGGAACAAGUGGGAAUUAUUCAAAAAUGGGGGAAAGCCUAAUCAAGCGACGCGGCGUGAGGGAUGACGGCCUUGGGGUUGAAAACGUCUUUAGGUGGGGAAGAAGCGAAAGUGACGGUACCUGCAGAAGAAGCACCGGCUAACUACGUG
rnacentral:rRNA from 1 species